rnacentral:ncRNA from 2 species
GCUUAUUCUCAGGGCGGGGUGCAAUUCCCCACCGGCGGUAUCCUGCCUCGGCAGGGAGCCCGCGAGCGCCCGACUCAGGUCGGGGUCAGCAGAUCCGGUGAGAGGCCGGAGCCGACGGUGAUAGUCCGGAUGAAAGAGGAUAAGG